CGAAUAGGACGGGGAGAGAAGAGGGACACCCUGACAGGGCCUGAGGACAGAGGGUGGCGGCGAAGGGGGGCGAGUCUGGGUGGAACAGGCAGCAAAGCCAAGAGGGGACAAUGCGCGGGGGGCGUUUCUGCCCCCGACGGGAAAUGCAAGAAUCAAAUGUCAGAAAGCAGAGCGCUUAGAGAACGGGACACGGCGGCGCCCAACGCCGAGGUCCCCCCCCCUCCCCCCCAAAGCAAGGCGAUUAAACAGACAGCGGGCUCAAUUGCAGCACACGACGCAGGAGGGGAAAAGAGAGUGGACGGGCAGGUGGCGGCUGUGCAGCAGAGCAGUAGUUAUAGCGGAGGAGGCAGCUCUCGCAGGCUCAGCCCUUCUUCGCCGUCCCUAACUUUCUGAAGAAAAGCAUCUUGUGCCAGAACUUUCUCCUUGGUCUCCAUCUUUUCUACAACAUUUCCCUGAUGCGGAAUUAUUGUUUUGCAGGCUUGCAAAAGAAGAGUGGCAGAUCCUUGUGGUCCUGAGGCGGGUAGCAAUCGAUUUAUCCGGGAUCGAUAAGACACGCUAUAUUGAUCCCCGAGCACGCUCACCAUCGACUCCGGAACUCCACCAGAGCAAGCGGCGGUAGCACAGUCGACGGGGGAGCCGCAGCUGUCGAUCCCGCGCCGUGUGGACCCCAGGUGCAAAUGUUUCAACGCGGCCCCUAUCUACUCCGUCCCCGAGGCUGGUCCAGAUUAGAAGGCGGAAAAAACUAAUUCGGGACGACAUGUUCGCCGAGCUCAUGCAGUCCUCCCGCACUGAUAGGGCCCAGCUGAAUGCAUGGAGGCAAACAAUUGCGGAGUCCCAUAAAGCAUUACAGGAACACGAAUAGAGGAGAGAGGCGCGCAAUGAGAGCAGGCAGGAUGCUAUGGUCAAGCUCAUGGGGGAGCAAACUGACAUGCUCCACUGUAUGGCAGAUCUAAUGCGGGAAAGGCAGCAAGACCACAGACUUCCACUGCAGCCCCUGUAUAAUCAAACUCCCUUCUCCCCAAGUUCCAUAGCCUCCUCACCCAGACGCCCAAGAACACGAGGGGGGAGGCUACGGGGACCCACACACUCAACCCCAGAGGAUCGCCCAAGCACCAGAAAGCUGGCAUAUGCGAACUUUUGAUUUGGUUUCUGGACUUGUCCUUCCCUCCUCCACCCCCCUAACCCACCCCCCGAGUCUACCUUCUAACUUCUCUCAAUGCAUGGUGCAUCAAAUAA